rfam:Flavobacterium sp. FPG59 Contig_28, whole genome shotgun sequence.
CCCUAGCCCCGACAGCAGUGAAAAUCCUCUGGCCCAAAAGCCUAUUUUUUCUUGGUAGAAAAGAGCGACCGCAGGAAGCUCCUUUUAUGCCUUAGAAAAAAAGGGUUUUGGGCCAGAGAUGAAACGAAUGGCGGGAUAUGGC